rnacentral:rRNA from 1 species
GUGGGGAAUAUUGCGCAAUGGGCGAAAGCCUGACGCAGCGACGCCGCGUGGGGGAUGACGGCCUUCGGGUUGUAAACCUCUUUCACCCACGACGAAGCGAAAGUGACGGUAGUGGGAGAAGAAGCACCGGCCAACUACGUGCCAGCAGCCGCGGUAAUACGUAGGGUGCAAGCGUUGUCCGGAAUUAUUGGGCGUAAAGAGCUCGUAGGCGGUUUGUUGCGUCGGCUGUGAAAGCCCGAGGCUCAACCUCGGGUCUGCAGUCGAUACGAGCAAACUAGAGUGUUGCAGGGGAGACUGGAAUUCCUGGUGUAGCGGUGAAAUGCGCAGAUAUCAGGAGGAACACCGGUGGCGAAGGCGGGUCUCUGGGCAACAACUGACGCUGAGGAGCGAAAGCGUGGGGAGCGAACAGGAUUAGAAACCCUAGUAGUCC